AUAAAAAUAAUCUGGGACAAGAAGGUUAGCUCGGUUAAGCCAACAGCUAUGGAGCAAGAAGAACGAACCUGGCCCAGGCUGAGGGACCCUGCUGGUGCUAGAGGGAUGCCUGGUCCCUCAGCUAUACCCAGUCGAUGCUCUGCAGGACCUGGGUAGUUUGAGCAGCAGUUGAAUCUCUCUUCAGCUGAGAAAGAAGAAGGUGAGCUCCAGUGGAUGUGGAAGUAAUACUAGUGUGCAGUACACGGCAGGAAAAUUUUCUCAUAGGUUGAUCUGGCUAUCCUGGGAAGUGUUGGAGUACAAGUGCUGAAAGAUGUGAAGAUGUUAAAAGAUCGAGUUCUGCAGGAAAGAAAAAGGCUGAAAGUUCUCAGAAAUUGAAGGCAGCAUUCAAAGGAGCCUAACGGAGAAAUGUAGAAGAUUAAGUAAACGACACUAAGGAAUCUACUUAUGUGUGUGAGCUUGCUGCCUUUAAACAGUCAGGAAUACCAGAAAAACAAAACUGAAGAGAAACAAAAACCAACCAAACAAGAAACAUAAUAAAAGAAA